UUUAGAGGAACCUGCCCUGUAAACGAUGAACCACGAAUGCCCUGCUUUUCCUAGGAUUUCAGUUUGUAUACCGCUGUUGUCAGUUAGUUUCUUUAGAAAACUUUCGAUAAUGAUAUAAUUAAUGACUUCAAGUAAAGGUGCAGCUAAUGGAAAAGAUAGAGGUGGGUUACAUUUAAAUGAAUAAAACGGAUAAAAUGUUUUAAAUAGAUUUUUGAAGGUGGAUUUAAUUGUAAGAUUUAAUAAAAUUUGAUGUGAGC
rnacentral:rRNA from 1 species